rnacentral:rRNA from 1 species
UACGUAGGGGGCGAGCGUUGUCCGGAAUCAUUGGGCGUAAAGCGCGUGUAGGCGGCCCGGUAAGUCCGCUGUGAAAGUCCAGGGCUCAACCCUGGGAUGCCGGUGGAUACUGUCGGGCUCGAGUCCGGAAGAGGCGAGUGGAAUUCCCGGUGUAGCGGUGAAAUGCGCAGAUAUCGGGAGGAACACCAAUGGCGAAGGCAGCUCGCUGGGACGGUACUGACGCUGAGACGCGAAAGCGUGGGGAGCAAACAGG